rnacentral:lncRNA from 1 species
AAAAAGUAACUAUUCAUGACAAAACAGAAAUUAACCUGGUCUCAUUUCGUCGUACAAUUUAUCUUGCUAUUCAGUCAAGUUUAGAUUUUGAAGAAUGUGCUCACAAAUUGCUGAAAAUGGAGUUUCCUGAAAGCCAAACAAAAGAACUCUGCAACAUGAUACUUGAUUGCUGUGCCCAACAGAGGACAUACGAAAAAUUUUUUGGCUUAUUAGCUGGGCGAUUUUGCAUGCUAAAGAAAGAGUACAUGGAAUCCUUUGAAGGUAUAUUCAAAGAACAGUAUGAUACCAUCCAUCGCUUGGAAACAAACAAGUUGAGAAAUGUUGCUAAGAUGUUUGCUCACCUUUUAUACACUGAUUCACUUCCAUGGAGUGUUCUUGAAUGUAUAAAACUGAGUGAAGAAACCACUACAUCAUCCAGUAGAAUUUUUGUCAAAAUAUUUUUCCAGGAACUGUGUGAAUACAUGGGUCUUCCUAAACUUAAUGCAAGAUUAAAGGAUGAGUAACUCUGCAGCCAUUCUUUG